UACAGAGGGGGCAAGCGUUAUUCGGAAUUAUUGGGCGUAAAGGGCGCGUAGGCGGCCUGGCAAGUGGAAGGUGAAAUCCCUCGGCUUAACCGAGGAACUGCCCUCCAAACUGCUUGGCUUGAGUCCGGGAGAGGUGAGUGGAAUUCCCAGUGUAGCGGUGAAAUGCGUAGAUAUUGGGAAGAACACCAGUGGCGAAGGCGGCUCACUGGACCGGAACUGACGCUGAGGCGCGAAAGCGUGGGGAGCAAACGGG
rnacentral:rRNA from 1 species